UACAGAGGUCCCAAGCGUUGUUCGGAUUUACUGGGCGUAAAGGGUGCGUAGGUGGCGAGGUAAGUUCGAUGUGAAAUCUCCGAGCUCAACUCGGAAACUGCAUUCGAUACUGCCGUGCUUGAGGACUGGAGAGGAGACUGGAAUUUACGGUGUAGCGGUGAAAUGCGUAGAUAUCGUGAGGAAGACCAGUGGCGAAGGCGGGUCUCGUGGACAGUUCCUGACACUGAGGCACGAAGGCCAGGGGAGCAAACGGG
rnacentral:rRNA from 1 species